rnacentral:rRNA from 1 species
GAUGAACGCUGGCGGCGUGCUUAAUACAUGCAAGUCGAGCGAGAACCUAUUGAGGGGUAACCCUCGAUAGGGGAAAGCGGCGAACGGGUGAGUAACACGUGGGUAACGUGCCCCAGACACUGGGAUAACAGCGGGAAACCGCUGCUAAUACCGGAUAACCCUCAUAGAGCGCAUGCUCGGUGAGGCAAAUGCUCCGGCGGUCUGGGAUCGGCCCGCGACGUAUCAGCUUGUUGGUGGGGUAACGGCCUACCAAGGCGGUGACGCGUAGCUGGCGUGAGAGCGUGGCCAGCCACACUGGGACUGAGACACGGCCCAGACUCCUACGGGAGGCAGCAGUAGGGAAUCUUGCACAAUGGGCGCAAGCCUGAUGCAGCGACGCCGCGUGAGGGAUGAAGGC